rnacentral:rRNA from 1 species
GACGAACGCUGGCGGCGUGCCUAAUACAUGCAAGUCGAACGCAGUGGGGACGGGUGAGUAACCCGUGGGUAACCUCCCAUCAGAGGGGAUAACACUUGGACACAGGUGCUAAACCGAUACUGAUGGAUGGACCCGCGGUGGAUUAGCUAGUUGGUGGGGUAACGGCUCACCAAGGCCACGAUGCAUAGCCGACCUGAGAGGAUGAUCGGCCACACUGGAACUGAGACACGGCCAAGACUCCUACGGGAGGCAGCAGUGGGGAAUCUUCGGCAAUGGACGAAAGUCUGACCGAGCAACGCCGCGUGUGUGAAGAAGGUUUUCGGAUUGUAAAGCUCUGUUGUUAGGGAAGCGUUAUCUAACCAGAAAGCCACGGCUAACUACGUGCCAGCAGCCGCGGUAAUAC